rnacentral:misc_RNA from 1 species
AAGGAUUCACCCAUAAGGAGGCGUACAUAAUCAAUGCGAUGGCUUCUCCAUAUUUAGGUAUCAAACACAAAAUUGAAAGCUCUAACAGGGAAAAGAAAACUAACAAACUCAGGUGAAUCCAUAACAAGGAAACUACUGCAUGUGUCGAAAACUUGAAAACGGGCCUGGAGGGGUGUUUAUUUGUGUCAUUAAUUGAAUUGGCUUUUUGGGUGUAUUUAUUUGUCAUAAUUUUUGUUUUGUCAGUUGGG